UGUCCUGUCGGAUGCACUGGGUGCCCAAACUGCGUCUGGGGGACUGGUGUCUACUCAGAAGAUUCGAGUAUUUGUCAUGCUGCAAUCCAUGACGGUAGGAUCACGGAUGCAGGUGGACAGGUGACCGUGUACAUAAGGCCCGGACAGAACUCCUACCAUGGAUCCUGGCAUAAUGGCAUCCAAACGAAUGAUUUUGGACCAUGGCCUAGAUCCUUCACCUUUACAC